CCUGUGCUCGACUCAGUAAACUGGGUUUUUCCCCGCAAGGGGCGCAGAGACAGGUGCUGCAUGGCUGUCGUCAGCUCGUGUCGUGAGAUGUUGGGGUUAAGUCCCGCAACGAGCGCAACCCUCGCCUUUAGUUGCCAUCAUUCAGUUGGGCACUCUAGAGGGACCGCCGGCGGCAAGCCGGAGGAAGGUGGGGAUGAAGUCAAGUCAUCAUGGCCCUUACACCCUGGGCUACACACGUGCUACAAUGGCGGUGACAGUGGGCAGCGAGCUCGCGAGAGUCAGCUAAUCCCAAAAAACCGUCCCAGUUCAGAUUGCACUCUGCAACUCGGGUGCAUGAAGGUGGAAUUUUCGCUAGUAAUCGCAGAACAGCAGGCUGCGGUGAAUACGUUCCCGGGCCUUGUACACACCGCCCGUCACGGCAUGGGAGUUGGUUUUACCCGAAGACGGUGCGCUAACCGCAAGGAGGCAGCCGGCCACGGUAGGAUCAGCGACUGGGCCGAAGUCGUAACAAGGUAAGCGUAGUGCU
rnacentral:rRNA from 1 species